AUGUAUAUAUUGUACAGGUGGGCGGCCGUUAUCUGUACACCCGCGUGCGGCGUGGGGCCUGCUAUGUACACGCUGGGGUUCUGCUGCACUACCGGGGACCCGCGGUAUAAAAACGGAACAGACAAAAAAAAAAUAAAUCAUGAAAUAAAUACAACCAUGUGUUUAAAAAAUAAUAAACGCCGCAGCCCCCCCACAGCCGCCGCCGCUGGACCCCGAGCUGCCGGGGGGGGGUGUCUCACGCCGCGGGAGCUGGGACGUGGGGAUUCACGGAUGGAGAGGAGCCCCCCGCGCCGUGGGACACGCCGGGGUGAGGCGGGGGCUGCGGGCGGGGGCCGGCCGAGCCCGGUGCUGGCUCCCCUAUGGCUUUCGAAGGGGCUGGGGGGUCCCGGCAGCGGGGCUGGGUGCUCCGCGCUCUCCUGGAACGGCAUUUCUGCACGUAGCAGGUCGUGCGGUGCUUUGGGAGGGGAGGACACACUGCGUCCUUCCCUCCCCGUCCCUGUCCCCGAGCUGGGGGGGCUGCUUUUCCCCGGGGCAGGAGGGCAGCAGCCGGGGGCUUCUCCGUGGCGGAGGGGAGGCAGAAUCCUCAGAUUCCCAUCCCCUGGGGACACGGCGAGCGGAAGCGGGGUGGGGAGAGGAUGGGUGCCAGCUCCUGCCGGUCCUGGGGGGGCGGCAGGGUGGGCGCAGGGAGUCCUGGGGCUGGGGGCGACGGAAGGAGAGUUUGGGGGAGCGGAGGAAACGGCGUGGCAAAUGUUAGAGCGAGCGGCGUACGGGGGAGCAGGAGGAUGGGAGGGGAACCCCUGCCCCGAGCUGGCCCUGCCCGGCUCCGAAAAGCCCGGGGCUGGGGACGGGAGGCUGGGGAGGUGUGACAGGGGGGGUCGGGCAGGGGCAGGCGUCCCGUCCCGCCCCGGGAGCCGCACGGGGAAGGCAUGGCCGGGCACGCACAGCUCCCGGCACGGAGAGCCUGGCCCGGCGGCACCGGGAUGGAGGGGGAUAGGGGACGGCUUGUCAGUGUGA
rnacentral:lncRNA from 1 species